AGAAAAUGUAAAUUCUGAAAAGUGGUUCACUUUUAAAGUAAAUAUCUUUUAAAUUGUAAAAAUACAAGCAGUUAAGUCAUUACCAACAUUGUGAUUAUCAAAAUUCACAAGUGUCAUCAGCCAUAUCAUUUUAGAUCCAUUCUGCAACUUCCAUACCCUUUUCUUUAGAACCUCCUCAAUCAAUCAAAUCCCCCAUCUUUACUUGUAUCCUCGUACACAACCCUUGAAACCCUUCUACAUUUUCUCAAGAAAUCCACCAUAGAAUCACCCAGAAGCAAGAAAAACCCUUG
rnacentral:lncRNA from 1 species